rnacentral:rRNA from 1 species
GGAAGGGGUGUAUUUAUUAGAUAAAAAACCAACGCCCUUCGGGGCUUCUUGGUGAUUCAUGAUAACUUCACGGAUCGCAUGGCCUUGCGCCGGCGACGGUUCAUUCAAAUUUCUGCCCUAUCAACUUUCGAUGGUAAGGUAUUGGCUUACCAUGGUUUCAACGGGUAACGGGGAAUUAGGGUUCGAUUCCGGAGAGGGAGCCUGAGAAACGGCUACCACAUCCAAGGAAGGCAGCAGGCGCGCAAAUUACCCAAUCCCGACACGGGGAGGUAGUGACAAUAAAUACUGAUACAGGGCUCUUUUGGGUCUUGUAAUUGGAAUGAGUACAAUUUAAACCUCUUAACGAGGAACAAUUGGAGGGCAAGUCUGGUGCCAGCAGCCGCGGUAAUUCCAGCUCCAAUAGCGUAUAUUAAAGUUGUUGCAGUUAAAAAGCCCGUAGUUGAAACUUGGGCCUGGCUGGCAGGUCCGCCUCACCGCGUGUACUUGUCCGGCCGGGCCUUUCCUUCUGGAGAACCUCAUGCCCUUCACUGGGUGUGCUGGGGAACCAGGACUUUUAC